CCUGACGCAGCAACGCCGCGUGAGUGAUGAAGGUCUUCGGAUCGUAAAGCUCUUUCGGCCGGGACGAAAACGCCGGAGCGAACAGCUCCGGCCUUGACGGUACCGGAAGAAGAAGCACCGACUAACUCUGUGCCAGCAGCCGCGGUAAUACAGAGGGUGCAAGCGUUGUUCGGAAUUAUUGGGCGUAAAGCGCGUGUAGGCGGCGGAGCAUGUCGGGUGUGAAAGCCCUCGGCUUAACCGAGGAAGUGCGCCCGAAACUGCUCGGCUGGAGUGCUGGAGAGGGUAGCGGAAUUCCCGGUGUAGAGGUGAAAUUCGUAGAUAUCGGGAGGAACACCAGUGGCGAAGGCGGCUACCUGGACGGACACUGACGCUGAGACGCGAAAGCGUGGGGAGCAAACAGGAUUAGAUACCCUGGUAGUCCACGCUGUAAACGAUGGGAACUAGGUGUGGCGGGUGUUGACCCCUGCCGUGCCGAAGCCAACGCAUUAAGUUCCCCGCCUGGGAAGUACGGCCGCAAGGUUA
rnacentral:rRNA from 1 species